rnacentral:rRNA from 1 species
UACAGAGGGGGCAAGCGUUGUUCGGAAUUACUGGGCGUAAAGGGCGCGUAGGCGGCCCGCUAAGUCGAACGUGAAAUCCCCGAGCUCAACUCGGGAACUGCGUCCGAUACUGGCGGGCUUGAAUCCGGGAGAGGGAUGCGGAAUUCCAGGUGUAGCGGUGAAAUGCGUAGAGAUCGGCAGGAACACCCAGGGGGAAACCAGCGGACUGGCUCGUUGCUGACACUGAGGUGCGACAGCGUGGGGAGCGAACGGG